UACGUAGGGUGCAAGCGUUAAUCGGAAUUACUGGGCGUAAAGCGUGCGCAGGCGGUUUUGUAAGUCUGUCGUGAAAUCCCCGGGCUCAACCUGGGAAUUGCGAUGGAGACUGCAAGGCUAGAAUCUGGCAGAGGGGGGUAGAAUUCCACGUGUAGCAGUGAAAUGCGUAGAGAUGUGGAGGAACACCGAUGGCGAAGGCAGCUCUCUGGGACGGUACUGACGCUGAGACGCGAAAGCGUGGGGAGCAAACAGG
rnacentral:rRNA from 1 species